rnacentral:rRNA from 1 species
UGGGGAAUAUUGGACAAUGGGGGCAACCCUGAUCCAGCCAUGCCGCGUGAGUGAUGAAGGCCUUAGGGUUGUAAAACUCUUUUAUCCGGGAAGAUAAUGACUGUACCGGAAGAAUAAGCCCCGGCUAACUUCGUGCCAGCAGCCGCGGUAAUACGAAGGGGGCUAGCGUUGUUCGGAAUCACUGGGCGUAAAGCGCACGUAGGCGGAUUGUUAAGUCAGAGGUGAAAUCCCGGAGCUCAACUUCGGAACUGCCUUUGAUACUGGCAAUCUCGAGUCUGGAAGAGGUUAGUGGAACUGCAAGUGUAGAGGUGAAAUUCGUAGAUAUUUGCAAGAACACCAGUGGCGAAGGCGGCUAACUGGUCCAGUACUGACGCUGAGGUGCGAAAGCGUGGGGAGCAAA